GUCUUCUAGAUGGAUCUGGCAUUUCUUGAACCAUCAUCUUCCAAAGUCUCGUACAGCUAGCAUCCUCUCACAUCUACCUAACCUUAUCUCUCACACUGUUCAGACAAAAAACCCCAUUUCCGACCGUAGAGUUCGUCAUCUGCCAUUACAGUGUUGAGAUCUUCUUUAAUUCGUAGAAGAUCUCAACCUUACUGCAAGGUCUUCAUCACCGCUAACAUCCGAUUAGGGUUCAGUUCUGAAACCCACAACUGAGAUCAGUGUACUUGUUGUUCGAGGAUCUAAGUUUUUAUUCUCCGAUCUUCGUUUUGAGACUCGGAUCGGCAUUUUUUAAGGUUCUAACGUCAAUUGAUGAUCUAGAUCUUCACUUACUACCCUAUUCCACUACAUCAGCUGUAAGAUCAAGCAAAUCUGUAUGGCUCCGUACGGUGUUCAUGACUUUAGAUGGACAUUACAGGCAGCUUUGUCGCACUCAAAUGCAAGAUAAGUGAAACUAAACAUUUUUCUUUGUCUAAAUUCUUAUCUUAGCAUAGGCAACAUAUUCUAGAUCUUUAAUUUUUGUGUUUUUUUGUCUGUAUAAUGAACAUCACACAUUAUUGGCUUCUGGGUAUUCAUAGGAUAUUAUAGACUAACCAAACAAUACCUAAUUUAA